rnacentral:rRNA from 1 species
AACGAACGCUGGCGGCGUGGAUAAGACAUGCAAGUCGAGCGGGAUCGUUCUUGUAGCAAUACAAGGGCGGUUCAGCGGCGCAAGGGUGCGUAACACGUGGGCAAUCUGCCGAGAUGUGGGGGAUAGCUCGCCGAAAGGCGAAUUAAUACCGCAUGUGACCAAGGUUGACAUCAACCUGACGUCAAAGCCGGGGCAACCUGGCGCAUCUUGAGGAGCCCGCGGCCAUCAGCUAGUUGGCGAGGUAAUGGCUCACCAAGGCUUUGACGGGUAGCUGGUCUAAGAGGACGACCAGCCACACUGGAACUGAGACACGGUCCAGACACCUACGGGUGGCAGCAGUCGAGAAUUUUUCUCAAUGGGGAAACCCUGAAGGAGCGACGCCGCGUGGAGGAUGAAGGUCUUCGGAUUGUAAACUCCUGUCAUUUGAGAACAAGGGGUUCGUGUUAACUGCACGGGCCUUGAUAGUAUCAGAAGAGGAAGAGACGGCUAACUCUGU